rnacentral:tRNA from 1 species
GGAGAGGUCGCCUAGUCCGGUCUAUGGCGCCGGUUUGCUAAACCGGUUGGGCGCAAGCCCUCGGGGGUUCGAAUCCCCCCCUCUCCG